GACGAACGCUUGCGGCGUGCCUAAGAAAUGCAAGUCGAGCGAGGUUUAGAAGCUUGCUUCGAAAACCUAGCGGCGAACGGUCGCGUAACACGUAAGCAACCUGCCUCAAAGAGGGGGAUAGCCCGCCGAAAGGCGGAUUAAUACCGCAUGUGAACACAUAUAUGCAUGUAGAUGUGUUUAAACCAGAGAUGGGCUUUGAGAUGGGCUUGCGGCCUAUCAGCUAGUUGGUGAGGUAACGGCUCACCAAGGCGACGACGGGUAGCUGGUCUGAGAGGAUGGUCAGCCGGACUGGGACUGAGAUACGGCCCAGACUCCUACGGGGGGCAGCAAUUAGGAAUCUUGCGCAAUGGGCGAAAGCCUGACGCAGCGACGCCGCGUGAAGGAAGACGGCCUCGGUUGUAACGUUACUUUAUUCUAGGAAGAAGGAAGUAGUGACGGUACCUCGAUGAAUAAGACCCGGCGUAACCUACGUAGCCAGCAGCCGCGGUAAACGUACGACGUCG
rnacentral:rRNA from 1 species